rnacentral:rRNA from 1 species
CCUACUGGGGGCUGCAGUGGGGAAUAUUGGACAAUGGGGGGAACCCUGAUCCAGCCAUGCCGCGUGUGUGAAGAAGGCCCUCGGGUUGUAAAGCACUUUCAGUGAGGAAGAACGCCUGGUGGUUAAUACCCAUCAGGAAAGACAUCACUCACAGAAGAAGCACCGGCUAACUCCGUGCCAGCAGCCGCGGUAAUACGGAGGGUGCGAGCGUUAAUCGGAAUUACUGGGCGUAAAGCGCGCGUAGGUGGCUUGAUAAGCCGGUUGUGAAAGCCCCGGGCUCAACCUGGGAACGGCAUCCGGAACUGUCAAGCUAGAGUGCAGGAGAGGAAGGUAGAAUUCCCGGUGUAGCGGUGAAAUGCGUAGAGAUCGGGAGGAAUACCAGUGGCGAAGGCGGCCUUCUGGACUGACACUGACACUGAGGUGCGAAAGCGUGGGUAGCAAACAGGAUUAGAUACCCCUGUAGUC